GUGUUGCGGGCAGUGGGUGGGGCCCCGUGGGCCUCGAACCCUGAUCUGCUUCUAGCCGGCGAAUAACUGGAAUUAACGGAGCAGGUUUAGUGUGCACGUGAGAUACUCUGGACCUUUCCACCCGCCCCACCCGACUGCGGGGAUAGUCACACAGUCACGUGCCGGGUGGGUCCCGGGGGUCGCACUUCGCUGGAGCUGGUCCCCGAGCCGCUGGCAGUGAAGUGACGGGGAAAGCGCGGGACCGGAAGGAGGGACGCGGGGCUCCAGGACUUCCAGCGCUUUCAGGCUAAUACUGGAUGCACACGAAAUCACAUGUUGAGCAAAUAUAAGGAAAACAUUUAAACCACGAUGGAAGAGGGCCACUUUCUCUUUACGUUCCUGCGCCCCCUCCUUCAGCCCUUUUCAGCUUGGGUGAUACACGGCUGCAGGCAUUUGGGGUUGAGCCAAGGUGGGUGGAUCAAUCAGUAUCAGAUGAUAACUGGGCUUAAGGAAAAUAACUUUCAAGUCAUACUUGCUUAAAAGAGAUCUACUUAGUCAAAAGGCUACAUUGCUUAAACAGUGAGAAAAAUCCAUGAAUAGAUAGAUUUCAUAAUGACAAAGAAAAAAGAAGAAAAGAAGGAACCAUGAGUCACCCACAGAGGACGCCAGGGAACUGUGACAUAAUAAGAAAUAUGUAUUUGGUGUCUACAUGGGCUUCCUGGCACAGAGCUCCUGAAACGCUUGGAAUUUCUUGAGUGAUCGGGUAAAAUGAGGCCUCUCUGCUUAUUUAUAACUGGCCUCUUUCAACCACACCUGAGUUUAUGUUAAUGAGGUGACUUAGAAAAGACCCUAAGGAUGGGACUGAGGGGAGGCUGGGUUGAUUAGAGGGUCAGACCUUUCAGCCCCACCCACUGACCUCGGGGGAGGGGCGAGGGGCUGGAGAUGGACUUAAUCACCAAUGGCCAAUGAUUUAAUCGAUGACGCCUAAGAAAUGAAGCCUCCGUAAAAACCCUAAACAACAGGUUUUGGAGAGCAUCUGGGCUGGUGAACACGUCAAAGUCCCGGGAGUGGUGGGCAUGGAUGCCCCACCCCUCCCCCAAUACCUGUGCAUCUUGUCCCUUUGGCUGUUCCUGAGUUGUGUCCUUUGUAAUAAAUGGGUGAUAGUAAGUGCUUUCCUACCUUCUGUGAGCAAAUGAUCAAGCUGAGGUGAGGGUUGUGGGGAUCUCCGAUUUCUAGCUGGUUGGCCAGAAGUACAGGUACCCGGGAUUUGCAACUAGCAUCUCAAGUUGGGGAUGGUCUUGUGGGACUGUGCCUCUAGCCCGUCUGCACUAACUUCGGGUAGUUAGUGUCAGAAUUGCUUCAUGGGACAGAGCAUCCCACACAUCUGGCCUCAGAAGUUUUGUGAGUAGAAGAAAUAGUCAUAGUUUUCUUUUAGGAACCAACCUAUCAUUCUAACAACUUAUAAAUAAAAAGAAAGAAUCAAACACUUGUCUGGCCUUCCUGUACCAACUGUACCUGAGGGUAACCACUCGUUGAUGAAAUGGUUUCCCUUUGUAGAGAGAUUCCAGCUAAGAAGCGAAGCAGGCCUCAUAGAUCCAGAAAUAUCACAGGGCUGCAGCCUCCAGUGAAAGAGCGGGUGUAAGCAGAGAUCACCAACGGCUGCUAAAAGCAUUAGGUGAAAAAAGGACAGAACUUUACAGUGUUAUGAGUCAGCCUGGCAGGGCCUGAGCCCGCUGAACAAUCCCAGCGUCACAGAAACAGACAGAUAUUCCGUGCUUCCCGAUGGAAGCACGCAAAACCACUUACACGGUAUUCAUGCCAAAGAAAUUGAACCUAAAUCUGAUUGAGCCUCUAGAUGUAUGAAUUUACAGAAAAUAGAAGAGACAGAGGAGGCUUUUAAACAACGUCAGUGGCAUGCAAUUAGCAAGAUUCAGACUGUGGAAAAACUUACAGGAAAAAAUGACAAAUGCAUUUCAAGGAAAAGAAAGGAAGUGAGCCUGACUGAAACAGAGGAGGAACCCAUGGCUUAGAAGAGACAUAGUAACUGAAUGUAACACGUGACCCUUAUUUGGCUCUUAAACAAACUGGUUGUUAAGAAAGAAAAAAAUUCAAGAGCUACCCAGAAGGCUUUCUCUACUAAAGGCAGAGACAGGGUCACAAACCCCACCCACUGUCUUUGCCUUUUCUUGGCUUAAAUCCUGUAAUUAAAGAGGUGUGCCUUUUAGUUCACCCUUCUUGUCCAGAGCUCACACCCUUUACAAGUCAGCACAUUAAACCUCAUCAGUCACAGACUCUCAGACUUUGCUGAGUUCAUGAGCUUGUUUCCCAAGGGCGGGCGUCAGUGAAACAUCUACAGCUCGAAGGUGAUGAUUUUUCUAAAAGCCACCGACUUCAUGAGGGUACUGAGCUCCCUGGUCUUUACACGUUUGACUCUUCAGAGUCGAUUGCAAGUGAUACGCUGGUCAAGGGGGUUGGAGCAGGCCUGGCGAAGAUGGUGAUGUUCUGAUUUCUUGUGUUUUUUGUCUUUGGAAUUUUUUUUUUUCUGUAUGUCUUCAUAGGAAUGAACGAGAGUUUAGAAGACCAAAUAUUUCAAACCAACCAGUGAAGCCCUUUGGUGCGGUUUUGACUCCAAAGCAGCAAGACUGUCUCCUGGUCUCCCAGGGCCAUACGCCACGGGGUCACUUUUCAAAUUAAGGUGAAAUCCAAGUGAAGGUGGAAAGGCAAGGUGUGAGGUCCUUCGACAGCAUCCCUGGUAGGUAACCAUCCACUCUCUAUAAACGCCUCCAAUGGCAGGAAAUCUCAGCCACGUUUCAUGAAGCUUCACUGUUGCCUCACCAGGAACCAGUCUUCCCCAUUUCCCAGGACAGCACUUCGAGUCUUAGAGACAGUGUUCUCAUCCCCACCCCGAGUCAGUGAUUCCUACCUGGAGUCUAGGGAAUGUGAGGGGACAGCCAUCCUAUUGGACAAUAUCAGCUCCUUGGAACAGCCAAGGUUAGCAGUUGGGGGCUUUUCCUUAGAUGCCGUGAUGCUCUGUUGAGGUUAGAAAUUUAUUUCAGUGGUUAGAAAGCAAGAACAUACACUAAAAUCUUUAAAAAUGGUUUUAUUUUAUUUUUUGAAAGAUUUUUUGGUUUUGACAUGGACCAUUUUUAAAGUCUUUAUUGAAUUUGUUACAAUAUUGCUUCUGUUUUAUGUUUUGGUUUUCUGGCCGCAAGGCAUGUGGGAGCUUAGCUCCCCCAGUGCAGGGGGUGUGGGAUCGAACCCACAGCCCCUGCGUUGGAAGGCGAAGUCUUAACCACUGGACCACCAGGGAAGUCCCUAAAAGUGGUUUUAAAACCACUCUCUUAAGUUUUCUCUUCCCCAGGGUAAACAUUGCUUGCUCUUUGAAAUAUUGGUAAUACAGGUUUAUAUAUUUUUUAAAAUAUAAUAAAUAAUGAAGUAUAAAUUAUAUAUAAGAAAUUACAUGUAUAUUAUAUUAAAAUAUAUAUGUAUGUUAUUAGAAAAGGGUAGCCUCACCCACACUCACUUUUAGGACAAGACCUAGCGACUGUACACAUCACUUGUCGUCACAUCUCAUUGGCUGGAGCGUUGCCACGUGGCUGCACCUGCUGUCAGGGAGCUGGGGGAGGUAGUGUGUGUCUGGCCGGGGUAAAACUUUCCCUGCUCUGGAAGGAGGGAAGAGGCAGCGUGGGGGGCUCUUGGCAUCUCUGCCACGAUAACUCUAAAUAGAAUCUAUGCGACCACAUAGCAUAAUGACAGUGUGUCCUGGUUUUGUCACCAGGCCCAGCGGUGAGGCUGCGUAAGGGUCACGGGAGUGGAGACACACAGAAUGGAGCCAGUAUUCAGUUCAGGAAUCAUAGGAUUUAGUGCACGUGGAGAGCACACAGCACAGCUUAGUAAGAGUAGGGAGAACAGAGAAGGGGUACCGACCUCGCCAAGGAGAAGUCCAGGAGGAGGCAGCUCAGCGCCAGCAGGGUCCCUGGUUGGUGAUGGUUUCAGGACGUCUGUGAGUGGGACUCGCCCUCGGCUGGGACAGGGCCUCGGGCAGCGCCUGGACAUUCCACAGUGUCUGGUCGGGUCCUCCAGCCAAGAGCCUUCAGUGUCCGACUCUGGGGGGUCUGCCUGGAGGUGGGCAGGUGCUGCCCCAGGGCCUCUCGUCUCCAGCAGCUACUCUGUGCCAGCGAAGGUUUCCGUGAUGUUACAAGGCAAGUCCUUAAAUUCAUUCUCUAAGUCUGUGAGUCUCUUCCUGUUUUGUAAACAAGUUCAUUUGUAGCAUCUUUCUUUUUAGAUUCCGCAUAUCGAUAUCGUAUAUUGGUCUUACUAACACAACAUUGUUAAUCACCUAUGCUUCAAUAUACAAUAAAAAUUAAACAAACAAACAAAAAACAAAGUCCUCAUCUAAAGGAACGCUCUUAGCUCACCAUACGGACGCACUCACAGCCCGGCACCCGACGCUUUGGAACAACUAGCCUGGCAGUGGACGCUGGCCGUUGGGACUCCGCUUUGACUGCUGAACAAAGCUUGAAUCCGAGGAGUUUCACACCAGAUAAGCAGGGAGCACAGACUGCAGCGUAACCGUCCUAAACUGAGAGCUUCACUGAAAUAUUCAAAUACAAGGAAUGUGUGUGAAAGACGUUUGUUCUUGGCUGGCUAACACCCGUUCAGUCCACCUCCAGUCACAAUUCCGGGUUUUGUUUGGGAAUCUAGUCUUCCUCUCUGUCCAUCUGGUUGAGGGGGAGUCUGGGGGUGACUUGUGACCUAGCCAAACCUCUCAGAACCCCAUAGUCCCUAGACGAGCGUGACUGGGUCGGGAUUGGCACGUGACUCAUUCCAGCUACUAGAAAAGCAGGUUCCUUUAAUUCUGCUGCCAUCUUGCCAUGUGGAGCAUAUGACAAUGAAAGAACUUUUUUUUUAGCCCAGGAUCCAGCCACGUUUCGCGUCUGCUCUCCACUGGGGCUCCUUAGCCACGAGAUCCAGGAAAUCCUCUUCUCCAUCCCUGUUUUGUUUUUCUCCUUACACCAGUUUGUACUGGGUUUUCUGUAACUUGCAAUAGAAAAAAAAUCCUGAUACAUUUGAGAUUAUUCCUAACUCUCCUAAAUGGAAAAUAACACAAUAAACAAUUAAAAUAAUUAAAUAAGAUAAUUAAAAACCAAGUAAGAUAUCUGACUAGUUCAUCUAUUCGCAUGAAUGAACUGUUAUAUAGCAGAGAUAUACAAAGCGUCAUUGUUCUGCACUGUGCAGCCAGAAUCUGAAGCCCUGGCCUGAUCACAGGCUGCAAGAAUUCUUUGCCACACGUUGCUCGGUAACGAAUAUUACUGUAGAUUUAAGAGCUUGAAAAUUCCGUCAUUAUCAACAAUUCAGCCUGAAAUCUUUCUGGAACGACGUGGGAAUAUAAAUAAGUUUAAAAGGCAUCAAGCCGUUCCUUCCUCUUUCUAACAGCUUCUUUUCUAGGAAGUCAAACUCUCCUUUUACACAGACCUCUUGUUCUCACCCUGUGGUUCUUAAAAGACGCCAACAAUACUUCUUCUUACCACUUACACUGAAUAAAUAAUUCAGGGUAAUAUAAUACCCAGUGGAACUUAGAACUGAUAGACUUCUUCCAAGCCCUUUAAGAUGUAUCUUCAAAAGAAAACACUGAAGGACGCUUUUAUGGAUUCCUCUAUUCUUCCUAAUAAGGUCAAAAUAAUAACAACACUCAUACUUCACAUUGUCUGUUUGGCAAAGGCCCGUUUGACUGACAGGGUGGUGCUGGUAACAGGCACGUGAACCCUGCAAGGCUCCUGCCUUGUGCGAGAUUAAGGGACGCGCGGGCAGAGGGGAAUGCAAAGGUGUUCUAUCACAUCUUCUCUAACGAAUGACCGCAUCAGAGUUACCUUAGAAACAAAGGGUUUAUCUCAUCUUAAAGAUGGGCAGGGACUUCCUUGGUGGUAUAGCAGUUAAGAAUCCACCUGCCAGUGCAGGGGACAUGGGUUCAAUCCCUGGUCCAGGAAGAUCCCACAUGCCGCGGAGCAACUAAGCCCGGGCGCCACAACUACUGAGCCUGCGCUCUAUAGCCCGUGAGCCACAACUACUGAGGCCACGCACCACAUCUACUGAAUCCCUCGUGCCUAGAGCCCAUGUUCCCCAACAAGAGAAGCCACUGCGAAGAGAAGCCCUUGUACUGCAACGAAGAGUGGCCCCCGCUCACCGCAACUAGAGAAAGCCCGCGCGCAGCAACUAAGACCCAACGCAGCCAAAAUAAAUAAAUUAAUUAAUUAAUUUUUUUAAAAAGAUGGGCAAAGGAGGGAAUUCCAGUCCUUUUCAGUAACCCAUGUAGUUACGUAACAAGCCUCACAAGAAGUUAAUCAACUAUGUUUAAUCCAAAUCCGUUGGGUUGAAAUUCCUCUGUCCUCAGUGGAAUUAGAAAGCUACUGCCUGUCAUCAGUGUGAGGCCCCUUCAUGUAUUUGAACCCUGUAUUAAAAGCUCUGUUUUGUGCUGAACAUCUUCUUUAUGAUUUCUUUUUUAAAAACCAUUUUUAAAUGGAAGUAGAGUUAAUUUACAAUGUUAUGUUGGUUUCAGGUAUCCAGCAAAGUGAUUCUGUUUUAUAUAUAGAUGUAUAUAUAUAUUUUUUCAAUUGUAUAUAUUUUCAAUUGUAUAUAUACAUAAUAGUCUUUUUCAGAUUCCCUUCCAUUAUAGGUUGUUAUACGAUAUUGAAUAUGGUUCCCUGUGCUAUACAGUAGGUCCUUGUUGUUUAUCUAUUCUAUAUAUACAUGUUAAUCCCAAACUCCUAAUUUCUCUCUCCCCCUGUGCUGAAUAUCUUUAACCUUUAACCCAGUCAUUCUCAACUGGAGUGAUUUUAUCCCCAGGGGACAUUUGGCAACGUGUGCAGCCUUUUUUGGUUGUCACAACUGAAGGGCAAAUGCUACUGGCGUCUAGUGGGUAGAGGGCAGGGAUGCUCUAAAUACCCUACAAUGCGCAGGGUGGUUCUCCACACACGCACACACACACACACACACACACACACACACGGACACACAUGGACACACAUGCACACAGCCCUCCAAAGAAUUAUCCUCCAGUGUUAAUAGUACCAAGGUUGAUAAACUAGUUAUCUUCUUAGUAUAUUCUUAUUUUCCAGACCUUUAGUAAUCAUUUGAAUUUUCUUUCUGAUUUUUUAAAAUAUUUAUUUUAUUUUUGGCUGCAUUGGGUCUUCGUUGUUGCACCCGGGAUUUCUCUAGUUGUGGCGAGCAGGGGCUACUCUUUGUUGUGGUGGCUUCUCUUGUUGCGGAGCAUGGGCUCUAGGCGUGAGGGAUUCAGUAGUUGUGGCGCAUGGCCUCAGUAGUUGUGGCUCGUGGGCUCUAGAGCGCAGGCUCAGUAGUUGUGGCGCAUGGGCUUAGUUGCUCCACGGCACGUGGGAUCUUCCUGGACCAGGGCUUGAACCUGUGUCCCCUACGUUGGCACAUGGAUUCUUAACCACUGCACCACCAGGGAAGUCCUUAAUCAUUUGAAUUUGCUUUGAACCUCUUCUCCAACUUACAUUACCCCACUUGGAUUUGGAGCUGUGACUUACACAUGAGCCUGAUUGUUACUGAAAACUAAGGACACUGACUUCAUAAUUGCUUUAUAAUUCCCUCCAUCUGUGAUACUUGUUAAAGGAUAAUUUAAUGACAUGUCCUGUAUGAAGGUUAUAGACACAGAACUGCUCUGGGGAUAUAAAUGACCCACUUGAAAUGCCUGUAGGCAUUUGGUUGAAUUACUAGGGCACCCAAAGUUCUACUCCAAUAAGAUCAUCAGAAUAUCCGAACCUGAUAGAAAAGAAGAGGGGCUCAGGGUGGGGGCCUGGGAGAGGAAGUCUCCCUGAGCUGUAGCCAGAGGAAUAAGGGUGAUAGAAACAGAAGGGGGAAGCCCCGCAAGGCUGGCGCUUACAACUCUCUAUGUGAGCAACCAAAGAGAGACGUUGGAUGAGGCAUCCCAGCCUCAGCUACAUUUUACUGCGGCCUAAGGACACGUAUUUAAGAUAACUUUUGGUAAGUUCUUAAACUUCUGUAACUUUUCCAACAUUUGUUUACUUUUAAUUCCCUAUUUCUUAAUAACGUGGAGCAGUGAAAACCGUUCAAAUGACAAGGCUUGUUUCCGGCUUAAAAAAUGGCAGGAGUAGCCCCCUUUGAGGCUAACCUUGGAGAAUGGGAUUUCUGGAAGAGAAACCAGACUGUUCAUAGCCAAGGAGGGGAGCCAUCUGGGGAAAUCCUGGGAUCAGCAAGAAGAAAUUUGGGACAGUGAGGGGCUGAUGCUGGGGUCAGAAAAAGUGCUUCGAGUCUUCAGAACGGUUGCUGGGUUCUGCUUUACAUAGUGCCUCACUCAUGAGAGGGUUUAAUGUAUGGUUUUCUGAUUUUGAUUAGCAUUUUGCUCCUAACUACUGCUCUUAAAUUCAAAUUAUAGCUUUCCAGAGGAUAAAAAAAGGGAGAGAGAAGAAAUAUGCUGAGGUUUGCACAGAGAUCAAAUAACCGUUCCUUUCUAAAACCAUAGAUUCUGCCGUUUGUUCCGUUUUUAUGCCAGGUCUGACAUUUCUCAUGCUUGAUGUCUACAUAUAAACAUUCACAUUGGAGAGUCUGAACAAAAAUCAUUUGGUUGGCUGGAGUUCUGUAAGGAGUCUAUAAAACGUUCUUGGAAUUUUAGUUCCAAGUAUGUUUUUAUAUUUAGAUGACUCACAAAAACUUUAUUUGCACUCUGUCUACUUAGCAUGAAAGAUGAUCUGAAUGAAUGUGAAAAAAUAAUUAAUUUCAAAUUUACGCAAGGGAAAGAUUGUAGCUUACUGUCUCUCACGUUCCCUCUGCUUCUAACUCCAACUGCAUUCCAACUCCUGCUGGGGCCACUCAGUAGGCAAGAGGGGUGGGAAUCACAGACCUGUGUGAUGCCUUCUUCACUCUGGGUAGGACGGGGGUUGGGGGUCAGGGUAGGAUGGAACUGAUGUAAAGAACUAAAAACGAUGAUGUCUAGUAGACAGACCCCCUGAUUGUGCCAUGAUAGUUGGCCUGCCAGCAGGUUGAUUUCUGCCCCUUGUACAUGGGUAUAUUCUUGUUGACCCCAAAGAGCUGGAGAAGAACCAAACUGAGGCCAGGAGAAUUAAAGGAGAUCAGGGAGCAAAAGGGUUUCCUUCCUGAGGACCUGUCUGCUGCCAUGCCAUCAGACAAUCAGAGACCAUUGUCCUUCCAUCCUCCCUGGACCACUGAUAACUUAAGCUUCUCCCAGGAUUCCACAACCAGAAAGAGAAGGAGCAAAUCAAACUAUCAGAUUAAGUCCCUUAGGAAAUAGAGCCACUGGAAGAGACAGACAACAACUUGUAAGAAAAACAGUAAGAAAAAACUAAUAAGAACAUGAAGGAGAUCUAUGUGCAGCAUAAAAGAGGCUCUCUAGAUAAAUCAAACCUUUAUUUUCUGACUAAAAUUUUAGUAAAAUGAAGGCCAUUGCUGAGACUCAAAUUAGAGGCCUGGAAAAUUCAAUGGAAUAAAAUCUCAAAUGACAGAGCAAAAGCACAAAGAGAUAGAAAUUGCAUAGACAAAAGCAUAAAGAUAAGAGAUUUGGAAGAUAGACCUUGGAGGAUGGAUUCUAGAAGGAGGGCAAGGAGCAGGUGGAGAAGAGAUAAAAAUAGAAGAAAAUAUUUUUGCGUUGAAGAAACACCAGAGUCUGCAACUUCAAACGGCUGACUAAGUUCCAGGCAUAAUAACGAGAACCAUAUCUAGGCAUAUAUGAGUAAAAUUUUUGAACUUCAACAUAAAGAUAAAAUCUUAUGAGUUUCCAGAAAAAUAAAUGAGCAAACUAUAAAGAAAGAGAAUCAGACAGGCAUGUGAUUUAUCUUCAGUUCUGGAGGUUAAAAGACAGUGGAGCAAACUUUGCAAAGUACUAAGAGAAAAGGAUUGAAAUCCAAGAAUUCUAUACCCAGGUGAAUUAUCACUUACCCAUCAGUUUGAAUGAAAGAUACUUGUAAAUAUACAAGGAUUCAGAGAAUAUAUCAUAGACAAACCACCAGUUGAGGAAAAAACUUGAGAAAGUGAGCAAAAAUAACAAAUUAAUCUGAACAGAGCUUAUAUUGUAUUAAUUAUCCAUGAUAGAUAACAAUUACCCCAGAACUUAGGGGCUUGAAGCAAUACUAAUCAUCUCUCACAGUUUUUGUGGAUCAAGAGUGGCUUAGCUAGGAGGCUACAAAGAUGAACUCACAGUGGGGCCAGGGCUACAGUCACUUAAAGACUUACCUGGGGCUGCAGAAUCUGCACCCAAGAUGGGUCACUCAUACGACCAGCAAGUUGGAUGGCUGUUGGCCAGAGGUCUUAGUUCCUCUGCACAUGGAGAAAUCAAGCAACAUAAUUCUAAAGAACCCAUGGGUCAAAGAGAAAGUCUCAAUGGAAAUUUUUUAAAAAUAUAAAUAAUGGAAAGUAAAAAUACAACAUAUCAAAAUAUGUGUGAUGCAGCUAAAGCAGUGCUGAGAGGGAAAUUUAUAGCAUCAAACACACACAUUAGAAGCAAGUAAAGGUCUUAAACCAGUCAUCUAAGUGCCUACCUCAAGAAACUAAAAGGAGAGAAACAAAAUAAGGCCCCAGCAAGUAGAAGGAGACUUUAAAAAAAAAGAACAAAAUUUAAUGAAAUUGGAAAUAGAAAAACAUAGAAAAUCAAUGA